UACGGAGGGUGCAAACGUUGCUCGGAAUCAUUGGGCGUAAAGCGCACGUAGGCGGCUAUGCAAGUCGGGUGUGAAAUCCCACGGCUCAACCGUGGAAGUGCACUCGAAACUGCAAGGCUAGAGUCCUGGAGAGGAAGGUGGAAUGCUUGGUGUAGAGGUGAAAUUCGUAGAUAUCAAGCGGAACACCGGUGGCGAAGGCGGCCUGCUGGACAGUGACUGACGCUGAGACGCGAAAGCGUGGGGAGCAAACAGG
rnacentral:rRNA from 1 species